rnacentral:pre_miRNA from 1 species
UGCUUCUGUGUGAUAUGUUUGAUAUUGGGUUGUUUAACUAGAAACCAACUAAAUGUCAAACAUAUGCUUACAGUAGCAGG